rnacentral:snoRNA from 1 species
AUGCACAUUUACUAGAGGUGAUCGUUGUAAUUAGUACGGUCGUCUUGUAUUGCUGUGCUAGAUUGAUUUGUCCGUCUUAUACAUAUUGGCGAUGCAUCGGUAAAAAAACCCGCGUAUUGUCAAGAAUGGGCGGACACAACG